AAACUACUCCCUCCGUUUGGAAUUAUUUAUCGCGAAAAUGAAUGUAUCUAGAUGUAUUUUAGUUCUAGAUACAUUCAUAUCCGAGCCAAGUAAUUUCAAACGGUGGAAGUAGCUU
rnacentral:pre_miRNA from 1 species